AUUGAACGCUGGCGGCAGGCCUAACACAUGCAAGUCGAGCGGAUGAAGGGAGCUUGCUCCUGGAUUCAGCGGCGGACGGGUGAGUAAUGCCUAGGAAUCUGCCUGGUAGUGGGGGAUAACGUCCGGAAACGGGCGCUAAUACCGCAUACGCCCUGAGUGAGAAAGUGGGGGAUCUUCGGACCUCACGCUAUCAGAUGAGCCUAGGUCGGAUUAGCUAGUUGGUGGGGUAAAGGCCUACCAAGGCGACGAUCCGUAACUGGUCUGAGAGGAUGAUCAGUCACACUGGAACUGAGACACGGUCCAGACUCCUACGGGAGGCAGCAGUGGGGAAUAUUGGACAAUGGGCGAAAGCCUGAUCCAGCCAUGCCGCGUGUGUGAAGAAGGUCUUCGGAUUGUAAAGCACUUUAAGUUGGGAGGAAGGGCAGUAAGUUAAUACCUUGCUGUUUUGACGUUACCAACAGAAUAAGCACCGGCUAACUUCGUG
rnacentral:rRNA from 1 species